GCAAGUCGAACGAGACCUUCGGGAUGAGUGGCAGACGGGUGAGUAACGCGUGGGAAUCUACCUAUCUCUACGGAACAACACAUAGAAAUGUGUGCUAAUACCGUAUACGCCCUUAGGGGGAAAGAUUUAUCGGAGAUAGAUGAGCCCGCGUUGGAUUAGCUAGUUGGUGAGGUAAUGGCUCACCAAGGCGACGAUCUAUAGCUGGUCUGAGAGGAUGAUC
rnacentral:rRNA from 1 species